rnacentral:lncRNA from 1 species
UUUUCUAUACAUUAAUCGAAUGAGGAUGAUUUCAAUUCUAUGUAUGAGCUGCAGAGUUUGGUUGUUGGUUAAAUAGACUUUUAUAUAAGAAAUUUAUGCCUAUGUUUGGGGAUUGAACUCAUUUCGCUAAGUAUAUUUAGUAAAUUGCACAUUCAAAAUCAGCCUUGACAAAUUUGCUGGCAUCAACACUUGUUCAUCUAUAAAUCCUAUGAUUCUCCAAAUACUUCUUUGUUAUAGCAUUUAACCCUUGUAGGUGUAUAUUCUUGUUGAGUAAUGUCAUUAGCAUCUGCAGACAAUCACAACUUAGAAAAUUGUUUAUAGUUUUACAUAAAUAUAACUAGUCUCACUUAAUUUUUGAAUCGAAAGUAGUGACUGAAUAACUUGGUCAUUUAUGUAUAUGUACUACUUUUUCCAUGCGUGUUUUAGGAAAUGAAUCUCAUGUAGACAAAUCAAGAAGAGGGGGAUGUUUGUUUUUCAUGUUUGUUUUUCAUGAAUAUGUAAAUUGUUAUCUUUAAAAUAUAUAGAUAAAAGCAUAUUAUACAUCGAUAAAUAUUGGGAAACUAGUUUUUUUUUUUUUUGUCACAAAACAACUUCAUUCAAUUCAAACUUAGUUCGGUGGGGGGAGUAAAUUCCCAGCCACUUCAUGCCCAAAUACAAUCAAAGCGUUUUUAGCUAGCAAAUCUGCAUUAACAUUCUUCAAUCUAGGAAUCCAAAAGAAAAUGGCGAUCUCGAAAUCCCUUGCCAUACAAACAAUGUCUUGAACAAUCCCAUAGAGUUCCAGCGGUGGUUCGUUCCGGUUUAUCGCCGUGAUCAGUUGGCUCGAGUGCGAUCUCGAAAUCCCUUGCCAUACAAACAAUGUAUUGGGAAACUAGGAAAGAUUUCUCUCCCAGGCACGAAAAUCAAGCUAAGUCUUUGCUCUUCGGUCCAUAGUCUCGUUCCCUCAUAAUCCGACCGUUUUGUUUCACCCUUUUGUAAAGUUGACCUUCUUCUUCUUUCUGACACACCACCUACCUCGUCCUUUUAUCCUUCUUUUAGAAUAUCCUCAGACCAACCCAC